rnacentral:rRNA from 1 species
GUGUCAGCAGCCGCGGUAAAACGUAGGAGGCGAGCGUUAUCCGGAUUUACUGGGUGUAAAGCGCAUGCAGGCGGUAGGCUAAGAUGGGUGUGAAAGCUCCUGGCUCAACUGGGAGAGGUCGCUCAAGACUGGCUUACUCGAGGAUGGUAGGGGAAAGUGGAAUUCCGGGUGUAGUGGUGAAAUGCGUAGAUAUCCGGAGGAACACCAGUGGCGAAGGCGGCUUUCUGGACCACUCCUGACGCUCAGAUGCGACAGCUAGGGGAGCAAACGGGAUUAGAAACCCUCGUAGUCC